rnacentral:rRNA from 1 species
UACGAGGGGGGCGAGCGUUGUUCGGAAUUAUUGGGCGUAAAGGGCGCGUAGGCGGUGCGGUAAGUCACCUGUGAAAUCUCCUGGCUCAACUGGGAGCUUGCAGGCGAAACUGCCGUGCUGGAGUGUGGGAGAGGUGCGUGGAAUUCCUGGUGUAGCGGUGAAAUGCGUAGAUAUCAGGAGGAACACCAGUGGCGAAGGCGACUGCCUGGGGAGUAACUGACGCUGAGGCGCGAAAGCUGGGGGAUCAAACAGG